rnacentral:rRNA from 1 species
CACACCGCCCGUCACGUCAUGGAAGGUGGUAACACCUGAAGUCGCUGCGCCAACCCUUCGGGGAGGCAGGUGCCUAGGGUGGGAUCGCUGACUGGGACG